GAUGAACGCUGGCGGCGUGCCUAAUACAUGCAAGUAGAACGCUGAAGGAGGAGCUUGCUCUUCUGGAUGAGUUGCGAACGGGUGAGUAACGCGUAGGUAACCUGCCUGGUAGCGGGGGAUAACUAUUGGAAACGAUAGCUAAUACCGCAUGACAACAGUUAUUGCAUGAUAACUGUUUAAAAGGGGCAACUGCUCCACUACCAGAUGGACCUGCGUUGUAUUAGCUAGUUGGUGAGGUAACGGCUCACCAAGGCGACGAUACAUAGCCUACCUGAGAGGGUGAUCGGCCACACUGGGACUGAGACACGGCCCAGACUCCUACGGGAGGCAGCAGUAGGGAAUCUUCGGCAAUGGACGGAAGUCGGACCGAGCAACGCCGCGUGAGUGAAGAAGGUUUUCGGAUCGUAAAGCUCUGUUGUAAGAGAAGAACGAGGGUGAGAGUGGAAAGUUCACACUGUGACGGUAUCUUACCAGAAAGGGACGGCUAACUACGUG
rnacentral:rRNA from 1 species